rnacentral:lncRNA from 1 species
CAAAGGGAUCAGAGAGAGGCCAAGAUAAGCUUCCUCUGGGGCAGCAGGGGCUGCUGGGCAUUGGUUCCCCUCUCACCUCUUGCCUUGUGGGAGAAGCUUAUAAGGAAGGUUUGGCAAGGGUAUAUUUAGGUUUGGCAAACACAAUGUCCAUUGUCUGCCCCAUGCCCAGGAAGUCUGAAGCAGAGCAACUGGGGCUGGAAGGGGAUGAGGCAGCAGAGGGGACAGUGACGGGGGCACAGAGGCUGCCAGCAAGGAUGCAGUGAUGAAACAGAACUGAGAUGAUAGAGUGUCCAGCGUGGGACUCGCCAAGAACCCAUAACGGCGCCACAAGAGAAAGCCCAGUUAUCCAUGAAC